rnacentral:tRNA from 2 species
GCCGCCGUAGCUCAGCCUCUGGUGGAGCGCCGGACUCAUAAUCCGGAGGUCCCGGGUUCAAAUCCCGGCGGCGGCA